GAAGAAUUAUAUGACUUAAUAUGCUCAAGACAGAAAUCAAUCAAAAAUAAUAGAAAAAAAUCUGAAAUUUGUUUACUGAACCAAGCUGAAAAAAUGAAAUUUAGGUCUAUCCAUAAGUUCCCCCAGCCAACAUAUGGAGACAGUGUGAGAGUCUCUUUACCGGAUGUCGACAGAGGACGAGCAGACCCGAGAAAUAUUAUAUUUGCAGUUGUGUCUAUUGAGGAUGGGCAAUAUUAUAAACUUGGCAAUAAAUAUGGUACUUAGCCACAAUUAUACACCAGAAAUCAGUUUGGUGUUUGUCCGUUAUCUUUAAUACAGCUUGAUGAGGUGUUACAUGUAGAAAAAUCAUUGAGGGAAAUUGCGAGUCAAAUGUCAAGGAUAUAAAAGGUGUUCAUGUAAGGGGAAAUGUAACACCAAUCGAUGUAAAUGUAAAGCAUCUAGCAUUUUGUGUAAUUCAAAAUGUCACGGAAGCAUGCCGUGUAAUAAUAAAGGAUAACACAUUAUGUAUCAUAAGUAGGUUAGGUUGUUAAAAAUUAAAAUUAAACUCAUAUUAAUA